AUUCUACAACGUGUGUGACAACAACGACGUGCAGCAAAGUCUGUCUCCAUGGCUCUGCAGAACAAAGUGGGUGAUGUAAAGAUGUUUCCCCACAAAGUCUGAUAGGGAAGAUCAUGUUAAGAGGUGAAUUUUAUACUUUGGUCUGAAAAUGCUGGGAUUCCCAGAAGAGCUCACCUCUUUGAGGAGGGAGACGUGUCGCUGUCGGGAGAACUCUUGUUCUAUAAAUGCAUAUUUCCCUACCAGUAUCUUUCAAAUCAAAAAUGAUGUUUCACAACAUAUGCAGAUUUGUAUUUUUAUGGGUAAUAUAGUUUUCCUAAUAACCUUUCCAAGUGAAAGAUUUUGUGUGAUUCAGAGAAACAGGCUCUUUUUUUCCCCCCCCUGAAGUUGAUUAGGCACCUAAACUCAUCAGUCCAUCUCUGAGCCGUGUACCUGAUUACGCCUAGGUAUAUGCAAUACGUUAUAUGAAAGCCUUUUAGCUUGGAUCAUAUUGUGGCUGUAACCAAAAUAGAUUUAGAGAUAAUGAGCUUGCAUCCCUGAAUACUUAGCAUUGCAGUCUACUCUCUAAACUGAUGAUGCAGCAGCUGCAUAAUGCAACAAUGUAAUUUAUU